rnacentral:rRNA from 1 species
UUAAUUGAAGAGUUUGAUCAUGGCUCAGAUUGAACGCUGGCGGCAGGCCUAACACAUGCAAGUCGAGCGGUAACAGAAAGAAAGCUUGCUUUCUUUGCUGACGAGCGGCGGACGGGUGAGUAAUGCCUGGGAAUAUGCCUUAGUGUGGGGGAUAACUAUUGGAAACGAUAGCUAAUACCGCAUAA